UCUGAAUCUGCGNACGGCUCCGCAAACCAGUUGUAAACUAUAGCAAGCAAGCCCGGGUUCUCUUCACGGGGAGCUCGGGCGAUACGGAUAACCCUGGUAAUUCUGAGGCUAAUACGAGAACGCAAUCCCUGGCUGACCGGGCAACUGGAAGGCUGGGAGGCGUGCACGUUGUGUCGCGAGAAAUCGCCGGGAAUGGAUGCACGCCUGGACCGCGCCAAAGACAGAUGGGUGUUUCGGCCUUCACGGGCUGGAGUGCCUGCCUGAGCGGCUCUUGCUGUGUGCUUCUGACCUAUCAACUAGACGGCAGCGUAAAGGACAUGCUAUGGUACAACGGGUACAG
rnacentral:rRNA from 1 species